rnacentral:rRNA from 1 species
AUUGAACGCUGGCGGCAUGCCUUACACAUGCAAGUCGAACGGCAGCAUGAUCUAGCUUGCUAGAUUGAUGGCGAGUGGCGAACGGGUGAGUAAUACAUCGGAACGUGCCCUGUAGUGGGGGAUAACUAGUCGAAAGAUUAGCUAAUACCGCAUACGACCUGAGGGUGAAAGUGGGGGACCGCAAGGCCUCAUGCUAUAGGAGCGGCCGAUGUCUGAUUAGCUAGUUGGUGAGGUAAAGGCUCACCAAGGCGACGAUCAGUAGCUGGUCUGAGAGGACGAUCAGCCACACUGGGACUGAGACACGGCCCAGACUCCUACGGGAGGCAGCAGUGGGGAAUUUUGGACAAUGGGCGAAAGCCUGAUCCAGCAAUGCCGCGUGUGUGAAGAAGGCCUUCGGGUUGUAAAGCACUUUUGUCCGGAAAGAAAUGGCUCUGGUUAAUGCCUGGGGUCGAUGACGGUACCGGAAGAAUAAGGACCGGCUAACUACGU